AACCUACAGACUAGCAGCCUCUUUCUUUGGCAGUGUUUAAUCUCAUGGUGCAAGCCUUGGGAAGGGGGUCUUUCACAGGCUAUCGUGCUAGCGACGAUGUUGUGAAGAAAGUGUCAAGGGGUAGAAGCUGGAUAUAUUUUCUCAUUCUUUGGGUGCUUUAUAGGACGUCAGAAAUAUUUCAAAGUAGUGCCUGAGGUUAAAUGAUUCGACACAGACUUCUUUUCCUGUCAGCAUGAAAGACCUGCUCCACCUAGUCCGGACGCCAGGGAGCUCUCAACUCUACCUGUGGGCACAAUCGGCAAUACCAUACUCUAUCUG